AGUGAACGCUGGCGGUAGGCCUAACACAUGCAAGUCGAACGGCAGCACAGUAAGAGCUUGCUCUUACGGGUGGCGAGUGGCGGACGGGUGAGGAAUACAUCGGAAUCUACUUUUUCGUGGGGGAUAACGUAGGGAAACUUACGCUAAUACCGCAUACGACCUACGGGUGAAAGCAGGGGAUCUUCGGACCUUGCGCGAUUGAAUGAGCCGAAGUCGGAUUAGCUAGUUGGCGGGGUAAAGGCCCACCAAGGCGACGAUCCGUAGCUGGUCUGAGAGGAUGAUCAGCCACACUGGAACUGAGACACGGUCCAGACUCCUACGGGAGGCAGCAGUGGGGAAUAUUGGACAAUGGGCGCAAGCCUGAUCCAGCCAUACCGCGUGGGUGAAGAAGGCCUUCGGGUUGUAAAGCCCUUUUGUUGGGGAAGAAAAGCAGCAGGUUAAUACCCCGCUGUUCUGACGGUACCCAAAGAAUAAGCACCGGCUAACUUCGUG
rnacentral:rRNA from 1 species